rnacentral:rRNA from 1 species
AGCGAACGCUGGCGGCAGGCCUAACACAUGCAAGUCGAACGAACCCUUCGGGGUUAGUGGCGGACGGGUGAGUAACACGUCGGAACGUGCCUUUAGGCUCGGAAUAACUCUGGGAAACUUGUGAUAAUACCGAAUGUGUCCCUCGGGUGCAAGAUUUAUCGUCCUUAGAGAGGCCCGCGUCCGAUUAGCCAGUCGGUGGUGGUAAUGGCGCAGCAGGGCGACAUACUGUACCUGGUAUGUGAGGAAGAUCAGCCACAUUGGGACGGAGACACGGCCCAGACUCCUACGGGAGGCAGCAGUGGGGAAUCUUGCGAAAUCGGCGAAAGCCUGACGGAGCCAGGCCGCGUGAAUGAUUAAGGUCUUAGGAAUAUAAAAUUCUUUCACCGGGGACGGUAAUGACGGUACCCGGAGAAGAAGCCCCGGCUAACUUCGUG